AACUUUUAACAACGGAUCUCUUGGUUCUCGCAUCGAUGAAGAACGUAGCAAAGUGCGAUAACUAGUGUGAAUUGCAUAUUCAGUGAAUCAUCGAGUCUUUGAACGCAACUUGCACCUGUUGGUAUUCCAACAGGUACGCCUGUUUCAGUA
rnacentral:rRNA from 2 species